GUACACUCCUACGGGAGGCAGCAGUGGGGAAUUUUGGACAAUGGGCGAAAGCCUGAUCCAGCAAUGCCGCGUGAGUGAAGAAGGCCUUCGGGUUGUAAAGCUCUUUUGUCAGGGAAGAAACGGUGAAAGCUAAUAUCUUUUGCUAAUGACGGUACCUGAAGAAUAAGCACCGGCUAACUACGUGCCAGCAGCCGCGGUAAUACGUAGGGUGCAAGCGUUAAUCGGAAUUACUGGGCGUAAAGCGUACGCAGGCGGUUUUGUAAGUCUGAUGUGAAAUCCCCGGGCUCAACCUGGGAAUUGCAUUGGAGACUGCAAGGCUAGAAUCUGGCAGAGGGGGGUAGAAUUCCACGUGUAGCAGUGAAAUGCGUAGAUAUGUGGAGGAACACCGAUGGCGAAGGCAGCCCCCUGGGUCAAGAUUGACGCUCAUGCACGAAAGCGUGGGGAGCAAACAGGAUUAGAAACCCUUGUAGUCCC
rnacentral:rRNA from 1 species